rnacentral:rRNA from 1 species
AACGAACGCUGGCGGCAUGCCUAACACAUGCAAGUCGAACGAGACCUUCGGGUUUGGUGGCGCACGGAUGGGUAACGCGUUGGAUCCUGCCUUUAGAUUCGGCAUAACUCCCCGAAAGGGGUGCUAAUACCGGAUAAUGUAUUCCAUCCAAAGUUUGAUCGCCUUUGGGUGGGCUGGAGAUGUCUUAGUUGGUUGGUAGGGUAAAAGGCUACCACGGCGAGGUUCGAUACAUGGUCUGAGAGGAUGAUCAGCGACACUGGUACGGAGACACGGCCGAGACUCUUACGGGAGGGAGGAGUGGGGAAUAUAGGAAAGUCGGCGGUAGGCUGAUCCAGCAAUGCCGCGUGAGUGAUGAAGGCCGUAGGGUUGUAAAGCUCGUUUACCCGUGAUUAUUAUGACAUUACCGGGAGAAUAAGCACCGGCUAACUCCGUG